rnacentral:rRNA from 1 species
UACGAAGGGGCUAGCGUUGCUCGGAAUUACUGGGCGUAAAGGGCGCGUAGGCGGCUCUGUUAGUCAGGCGUGAAAGCCCUGGCUCAACCUGGGACUGCGCUUGAUACGGCGGGCUUGAGGCAGGAGAGCUCGCGGAAUUCCAGUGUAGAGGUGAAUUCGUAGAUAUUGGGAAGAACCACCGGUGGCGAAGGCGGCGAGCUGGCCUGUUACUGACGCUGAGGCGCGACAGCGUGGAG